rnacentral:miRNA from 1 species
AUAGAUUAGAUCAAUAUAUUAGU